AAAUUUGAUUUUCAUUUAGAAAGCCCUUAGUCAAACGUAAACAAAUUUGUGAAAAAAGCGUCAAUUGAAAUCUAAUAUUUGAAAAUGUCUAAGCUCGAAUUAUGUAUUUCAAAAAUGCCAUCAACUUCAAAACUGUGAACGGAUAUUUUUAAUUUCAAAUUGUUAAAGUUUAUUGAUCGAACGUUCAACAUUACAACUUUUUCGAAGACUGUCGAGUAUUGAGGAAUCCAUAGCAAAUUGUAACCGCCUUGCGGGAGCUGCGCUGGUCACCCUAAUUAAAAAACCGCCCCUCCCACGUAAACGGGAGGAGAUAGACCCCCUCUAAUAGAAAAAAAUGUUUGUAUUGAACUCCUCUACAAAAACACGUUAUCAAAUCCUGGCGCCCAGGUUGUCCUACUACGUGUCAAAAUAACAUUUUUGUUCUAUGCCUAAAAGUUCGAAUUUUUGUAUCUGGGUUUAAAUCGUAAUUUUUUUUUUCUAAGCCAAUUUUUAACUGAUUUUCAUAAAAAAUUAAUCGUUUUAUUUGGAAAUAAAUAUAAUUUAAGAAUAUAUUUUUAAAACAGCAUGUUGUUAUGAAAA